GAUGAACGCUGGCGGUAUGCUUAACACAUGCAAGUCGAACGGACUCUUCGGAGUUAGUGGCGGACGGGUGAGUAACGCGUGGGAAUCUGGCCUUGGGUUCGGGACAACCACUGGAAACGGUGGCUAAUACCGGAUGUGCCGAGAGGUAAAAGAGAAAUUGCCUGAAGAUGAGCUCGCGUCCGAUUAGCUAGUUGGUGAGGUAAAGGCUCACCAAGGCAGCGAUCAGUAGCUGGUCUGAGAGGAUGACCAGCCACACUGGGACUGAGACACGGCCCAGACUCCUACGGGAGGCAGCAGUGAGGAAUUUUCCGCAAUGGGCGAGAGACUGACGGAGCAAUACCGCGUGAGAGAAGAAGGCUCUUGGGUUGUAAAACUCUUUACUUAGGGAAGAACAAAAUGACGGUACCUAAGGAAUCAGCAUCGGCUAACUCCGUG
rnacentral:rRNA from 1 species